AUGAUGUUCUCCCAGCUACCUGUGGUGGUGAAAAAUGGUUCACUGGGCUGA
rnacentral:snoRNA from 1 species